GGUGAACGCUGGCGGUAGGCCUAACACAUGCAAGUCGAACGGCAGCACAGUAAGAGCUUGCUCUUACGGGUGGCGAGUGGCGGACGGGUGAGGAAUACAUCGGAAUCUACUUUUUCGUGGGGGAUAACGUAGGGAAACUUACGCUAAUACCGCAUACGACCUACGGGUGAAAGCAGGGGAUCUUCGGACCUUGCGCGAUUGAAUGAGCCGAUGUCGGAUUAGCUAGUUGGCGGGGUAAAGGUCCACCAAGGCGACGAUCCGUAGCUGGUCUGAGAGGAUGAUCAGCCACACUGGAACUGAGACACGGUCCAGACUCCUACGGGAGGCAGCAGUGGGGAAUAUUGGACAAUGGGCGCAAGCCUGAUCCAGCCAGACCGCGUGGGUGAAGAAGGCCUCGGGUUGUAAAGCCCUUUUGUUGGGAAAGAAAAGCAGCAGGUUAAUACCCCGCUGUUCUGACGGUACCCAAAGAAUAAGCACCGGCUAACUUCGUG
rnacentral:rRNA from 1 species